UUUGAACCCGCAUGGUUCGGACAUAAAAGGUGGCUUCGGCUACCACUYACAGAUAGACCCGCGGCGCAUYAGCUAGUYGGUGAGGUAACGGCUCACCAAGGCGACGAUGMGUASCCGACCUGAGAGGGUGAUCGGCCACACUGGGACUGAGACACGGCCCAGACUCCUACGGGAGGCAGCAGUAGGGAAUCUUCCGCAAUGGACGAAAGUCUGACGGAGCAACGCCGCGUGAGUGAUGAAGGUUUUCGGAUCGUAAAGCUCUGUUGUUAGGGAAGAACAAGUGCCGUUCAAAUAGGGCGGCACCUYGACGGUACCUAACCAGAAAGCCACGGCUAACUACGUGCCAGCAGCCGCGGUAAUACGUAGGUGGCAAGCGUUGUCCGGAAUUAUUGGGCGUAAAGGGCUCGCAGGCGGUUUCUUAAGUCUGAUGUGAAAGCCCCCGGCUCAACCGGGGAGGGUCAUUGGAAACUGGGGAACUUGAGUGCAGAAGAGGAGAGUGGAAUUCCACGUGUAGCGGUGAAAUGCGUAGAGAUGUGGAGGAACACCAGUGGCGAAGGCGACUCUCUGGUCUGUAACUGACGCUGAGGAGCGAAAGCGUGGGGAGCGAACAGGAUUAGAUACCCUGGUAGUCCACGCCGUAAACGAUGAGUGCUAAGUGUUAGGGGGUUUCCGCCCCUUAGUGCUGCAGCUAACGCMYUAAAGCMCYCCCAU
rnacentral:rRNA from 1 species